rnacentral:rRNA from 1 species
UACGAAGGGGGCUAGCGUUGUUCGGAAUCACUGGGCGUAAAGGGCGCGUAGGCGGCCUUCUAAGUCGAACGUGAAAUCCCCGGGCUCAACCCGGGAACUGCGUCCGAUACUGGAAGGCUUGAAUCCGGGAGAGGGAUGUGGAAUUCCAGGUGUAGCGGUGAAAUGCGUAGAUAUCUGGAGGAACACCGGUGGCGAAGGCGACAUCCUGGACCGGUAUUGACGCUGAUGCACGAAGGCUAGGGGAGCAAACGGG